rnacentral:rRNA from 1 species
GACAGAGGGUGCAAACGUUGUUCGGAUUUACUGGGCGUAAAGCGCGUGUAGGCGGCCUUGCAAGUCGGAUGUGAAAGCCCACGGCUCAACCGUGGAAGUGCAUCCGAAACGGCCUCGCUCGAGUCUCGGAGAGGAAGGUGGAAUGCUUGGUGUAGAGGUGAAAUUCGUAGAUAUCAAGCAGAACACCUGCGGCGAAGGCGGCCUUCUGGACGAUGACUGACGCUGAGACGCGAAAGCGUGGGGAGCAAACAGG